UCCGCCAGCGCCACAUUAGAACUUGCUUAAAAAGUUCCACAAACGUCAUCCAAAAGUCAGAACUCAGAUUAGCAUUGCUGUGGCUGCAUUGGCUGUGCAUGUGCCUGCUGAAGAUUGGGGAGAUGGUGGUAUAGUGAAAUGGCUUAGGGACGAGAUGGAUUCUCAUCCGAAAUAUAUACCAAGAUUCUUGGAGUUACUAACAGUUUUGCCAGAGGAAGUAUUAAACUAU